CCUACGGGAGGCAGCAGUGGGGAAUCUUGCGCAAUGGGCGAAAGCCUGACGCAGCCAUGCCGCGUGAAUGAUGAAGGUCUUAGGAUUGUAAAAUUCUUUCACCGGGGACGAUAAUGACGGUACCCGGAGAAGAAGCCCCGGCUAACUUCGUGCCAGCAGCCGCGGUAAUACGAAGGGGGCUAGCGUUGCUCGGAAUUACUGGGCGUAAAGGGAGCGUAGGCGGAUAGUUUAGUCAGAGGUGAAAGCCCAGGGCUCAACCUUGGAAUUGCCUUUGAUACUGGCUAUCUUGAGUAUGGGAGAGGUAUGCGGAACUCCGAGUGUAGAGGUGAAAUUCGUAGAUAUUCGGAAGAACACCAGUGGCGAAGGCGGCAUACUGGCCCAUUACUGACGCUGAGGCUCGAAAGCGUGGGGAGCAAACAGGAUUAGAUACCCUGGUAGUCCACGCUGUAAACGAUGAGUGCUAGUUGUCGGCAUGCAUGCAUGUCGGUGGUACGCGAGCGUAACGACAUUAAGACACCUCCGCCGUCGGGGUAGGUACGGUCGCGAAGAAGUUAAACGUACGAAAGGAAGUUAGACGGACGUGAGACGUGCCGACGGACGACGACGAGGGAGGAGG
rnacentral:rRNA from 1 species